UGGCACAGUGGUUAAAGCACUCAGCUGCCAACUGAAAGGUUGGUGGUUCGAACCCACC
rfam:Loxodonta africana unplaced genomic scaffold scaffold_83, whole genome shotgun sequence.